rnacentral:sRNA from 1 species
UCCGCAAUGCCGAGAGCCGACCCGGGGC